rnacentral:rRNA from 2 species
UAGACAGUACCUGACUACAAAGCCAUGGCGACUACGUGCCAGCAGUCGCAGUAUUACGUAGGCGGCAGCGUCGUCGGGAGUUAUUGGGCGUAAAGCGCGCGCAGGUGGUUGCAAAGGUAUCCUGCUGAAAGCCUCCGGCUCAUCCGUGGGAGGGUCAUAGGAAACGGGGGAACAUGAGUGCUGGAUCGGAAAGUGUACUUCCACGUGUAGCGGUGAAAUGCGAGAAUAUGCGGUGGAACACCAGUGGCGAUGGCGACUUUUUGGCCUGUAACCGACACUGAGGCGAAUUCAGCUUUCGGAGCAAACAGGAUAAUUUCCCAGUGUCCACACCCCUCCCCGGUUGAGCCGGGGGUGUUGGGGGGUUUCCGCCGGACAGUCCUGCAGCUAACGCAUUCCGCAUUCUUCCGGGGGAGUACGGCCGCAAGGGUGAAACUCAAGGGAAUGGAAGGGGGCCCGCCCUAGCGUUGGAGCCUGUGGCUUAAUUGGUACCAACGCGAAGAACCUUACCAGUUCUUCCCAUCCCGGUGACCGCACCGGUCACAAAGCUUUCCUUUCGCGGACAACGGUGACCGGUGGUGCAUUGUUCUCGUCAGGAAGAGUCCUGAGAUGUUCGGUUAAGUCCCGCAACGAGCGCAACCCUUGAUCUUAGUGGCCAGCAUUCAGUUGGGCACUGUAAGGUGACGGCCGGUGACAAACCGGAGGAAGGUGGGGAUGACGUCAAAUCAUCAUGCCCCUUAUGACCUGGGCUACACACGUGCUACAAUGGACGAUACAAAGGGCUGCGAGACCGCGAGGUUUAGCCAAUCCCAUAAAAUCGUUCUCAGUUCGGAUUGUAGGCUGCAACUCGCCUACAUGAAGCGGAAUCGCUAGUAAU